GGAGGUGUAGCUCAGUGGUAGAGCAUAAGCUUAGCAUGUGUGAAACCCUAGGUUCAAUCCCAGCAUCCCCC
rnacentral:tRNA from 1 species